AUACGUAGGGGGCAAGCGUUGUCCGGAAUUAUUGGGCGUAAAGCGCGCGCAGGCGGCCUGUUAAGCCUGGUGUGAAAGACUACGGCUCAACCGUGGGGUGGCAUCAGAAACUGGCGGGCUUGAGUGCAGGAGAGGAGAGUGGAAUUCCCGGUGUAGCGGUGGAAUGCGUAGAGAUCGGGAGGAACACCAGUGGCGAAGGCGACUCUCUGGCCUGUAACUGACGCUGAGGCGCGAAAGCGUGGGGAGCGAACAGGAUUAGAUACCCUGGUAGUCCACGCCGUAAACGAUGAGUGCUAGGUGUUGGGGGUUUCCGCCCUCUGUGCCGAAGGUAACCCAAUAAGCACUCCGCCUGGGGAGUACGGCCGCAAGGCUGAG
rnacentral:rRNA from 1 species